GGAAUGAGUAAUGUAGCGGUGAAAUGCAUAGAUAUUACUCAGAACUCCGAUUGCGUAGGCAGCUUGCUAAACUGUAACUGACGCUGAUGCACGAAAGCGUGGGGAGCGAACAGGAUUAGAUACCCUGGUAGUCCACGCUGUAAACGAUGAGCACUGGUUGUUGGCAAUACACCGUCAGCGACUGAGCGAAAGUAUUAAGUGCUCCACCUGGGGAGUACGUCGGCAACGAUGAAACUCAAAGGAAUUGACGGGGGCCCGCACAAGCGGAGGAACAUGUGGUUUAAUUCGAUGAUACGCGAGGAACCUUACCUGGGCUUAAAUGUAGAGUGCAUUGCUUGGAAACAGGCAUUUUCUUCGGAACUCCUUACAAGGUGCUGCAUGGUUGUCGUCAGCUCGUGCCGUGAGGUGUCGGGUUAAGUCCCAUAACGAGCGCAACCCCUAUUGUUAGUUACCAGCACGUAAUGGUGGGGACUCUAGCAAGACUGCCGGUGUAAACCGUGAGGAAGGUGGGGAUGACGUCAAAUCAGCACGGCCCUUAUGUCCAGGGCUACACACGUGUUACAAUGGCAAGUACAAAGAGCAGCCACCUGGCGACAGGGCGCUAAUCUCAAAAGCUUGCCUCAGUUCGGAUCGAAGUCUGCAACUCGACUUCGUGAAGGUGGAUUCGCUAGUAAUCGCGCAUCAGCCAUGGCGCGGUGAAUACGUUCCCGGGCCUUGUACACACCGCCCGUCAAGCCAUGGAAGCCGGGGGUACCUGAAGUCCGU
rnacentral:rRNA from 1 species